GGUCCUAUAGUAUAGUUGGUUAGUACACAAGGUUUUGAUCCUUGCAACUUCGGUUCGAAUCCGGAUAGGACCU
rfam:Candida tropicalis MYA-3404 genomic scaffold supercont3.3, whole genome shotgun sequence.